AAAUAAUGUUGGGGGCAAUUUCUUAUCAAUCCUUUGUAGCGUUCCCAUGCUUCGUAAAGUGAAUCACCCAGUUGUUACUCGAAAUUUGCUAUGGCUUUCAUGAGUUU